rnacentral:rRNA from 1 species
GUAAAUAAUAAAGGGCGUAUGGUGGAUGCCUAGGCUCUCAGAGGCGAAGAAGGACGUGAUAAGCUGCGAAAAGCUCCGUUUAGGUGCAAAUAACCUUUGAUGCGGAGAUCUCCGAAUGGGAUAACCCAAUAUGUUGAAGACAUAUUAUACCGUAAGGUAGGCAAACGCAGGGAACUGAAACAUCUAAGUACCUGCAGGAGAAGAAAACAAACGUGAUUCCCCCAGUAGCGGCGAGCGACCGGGGAAAAGCCCAAACCGUUAUUGUUUCGGCAUUAACGGGGUAGUAGGACUGCGACAUUGAUGAAAUAAAUGAAAUGGAACACCUUGGAAAAUGUGAUCACAGAGGGUGAUAAUCCCGUACAUGCAAGUUUAUGAAUCAUAGCAGUAUCCUGAGUAAGUCGGGACACGUGUAAUCCUGACCGAAUCCGCCGGGACCAUCCGGCAAGGCUAAAUACUCCUGAGAGACCGAUAGUGAACCAGUACCGUGAGGGAAAGGUGAAAAGCACUUCGAACAGAAGAGUGAAAUAGUCCCUGAACCCAUACGCCUACAAGCUGUCGGAGCCGCUUCGUGCGGUGACGGCGUGCCUUUUGCAUAAUGAGCCUACGAGUUACUCAUCACCAGCGAGGUUAAGUACUUCAGGUACGUAAGCCGAAGCGAAAGCGAGUCUGAAUAGGGCGUCAAGUUGGUGGUGGUAGACGCGAAACCUUAGUGAUCUACCCAUGGGCAGGGUGAAGGUUUGGUAACACAAACUGGAGGCCCGAACCGGUAAACGUUGAAAAGUUUUCGGAUGACCUGUGGGUAGGGGUGAAAGGCCAAUCAAACUGGGAAAUAGCUCGUACUCUCCGAAAUGCAUUUAGGUGCAGCCUCUGUUGUUUUGUUCUAGAGGUAGAGCUACUGAUUGGAUGCGAGGGCUUCACCGCCUAUCAAAUCCGGCCAAACUCCGAAUGCUAGAACAUGAAGACAGGGAGUGAGCCAGCGGGUGCUAAGGUCCGUUGACGAAAGAGGGAGAACUCAGACCAUCAGCUAAGGUCCCCAAUUGUAUGCUAAGUUGGAAUAAAAACGGGGUGGGACUGCUUAGACAGCUAGGAUGUUGGCUUGGAAGCAGCCAUUCAUUUAAAGAGUGCGUAACAGCUCACUAGUCGAGCGGUCCUGCAUGGAUAAUACGCGGGCAUAAGCAUAUAACCGAAGCUAUGGGAUUGUAGAUGAUACAAUCGGUAGGAGAGCAUUCCAUUCAGCGUAGAAGCAGUAUCGUGAGGUAUUGUGGAGCGGAUGGAAAAGCAAAUGUAGGCAUAAGUAACGAUAAUGCGGGUGAGAACCCCGCACGCCGAAAGAUCAAGGAUUCCCCGGCAAUGUCAAUCAUCCGGGGGUAAGUCGGAUCCUAAGGGUAAGCCGAGUGGCGAUCCCGAUGGCAAACAGGUUAAUAUUCCUGUACUGAUCAUAACUGCGAUGCAGCGACGCAGAGGUGACACUGCUGCGUACUGACGGAAUAGUACGUUGAAACCCGUAUUCUUUGAUACCGGUAGUGAAGCACGCCGGUAGAGAUGAAAGGUGAUAGUACCGCAAUGCUUCGGUUGCGCGGAUAAUGCAGGUAAGCUGACUGCCAAGAAAACCUGCUAAGCUUCAGGUAAUGAUCAUCCGUACUGUAAACGGACACACGUGAUCAGGUAGAAAAUACUAAGGCGCUCGAGAGAUUCAUGGUUAAGGAACUAGGCAAAAUGGUCCUGUAACUUCGGGAUAAAGGACGCUCUUGUGAAAGAGCCGCAGAUAAUAGGCCCAGGCGACUGUUUACCAAAAACACAUGGCUAUGCUAAUUCGCAAGAAGAUGUAUAUGGCCUGACACCUGCCCGGUGCCGGAAGGUUAAGAGGAGAGCUCAGAGGUAACUCGAAGGUUUGAAUUGAAGCCCCGGUAAACGGCGGCCGUAACUAUAACGGUCCUAAGGUAGCGAAAUUCCUUGUCGGGUAAGUUCC